GUCCGGGUGGCGGAACGGCAGACGCGCUGGCUUGAGGUGCCAGUAUCCUUUACCGGAUGUGAGGGUUCAAAUCCCUUCUCGGACA
rnacentral:tRNA from 1 species